rnacentral:lncRNA from 1 species
AUAACUCUGUACCAUAGAAGGAGAAUUCUGAAUUUGGGAUACAGUUAGCUUUCAAGGUUGCUUUACUGCUUUUCUAGGGCAACACCAUUUUGUCCAAUGGCCCAGAUGCCCAAAUUCCAUCAAAGGAUUGUCUGCUGCUUACCACCAAGCUCAUCUUAUUACUGUUGAAGCACUGAAGCAAUUCCUGCUUCCCGUCAGUGAAUGAAAAUCCCUUGGAGAAGGAAGAGCCCUCUGUUCAUUUGUGACCUCUAUCUGAUGGGCUGAUUUCCUAAAUUUCAAGAUGUACCUAAUGCCCUGACUGCCACACGAAGCGGAAAGCCACAGAUGUCCUCUGAACAAUUAUAUAAAGGUAAGGAGUUUCAACAACUCUGUAGUUGAGAGAGCAUGAGAAGACCACCCGGGCAUAAAAUACCAUCUCUUGUAAGUUUGGAAACCCAAAUGCUCUAAAAUGCAUCCUGAAACCAUGUAAGAAAAUCAUGUUUUACUUCAGAAAUAAUUAGUAUUGAAAAUAAGCCCUUGUUCAAGCAAAGGAGCUGGCUGGCAGAGAGUAGUAAACUGCUAUCCAGCUAUCAGAGGUGUUCAUGAAAAUGUGAC